UGACCGCCACAUCACCUGACCCGGCGCGACAGGAAGGUGAAAGUCUUGGGCGCGGGCUUCCUGGCGUGAUGAGGUUCCGGUUCUGUGGUGACCUGGACUGUCCUGACUGGGUCCUGGCAGAGAUCAGCACGCUGGCCAAAAUUUCCUCCGUGAAGCUGAGGCUGCUGUGUAGCCAGGUGCUGAAGGACCUUCUGGGACAGGGGAUUGAUUAUGAGAAGAUCCUGAAGCUCACCGCUGAUGCCAGGUUUGAGUCGGGUGAUGUGAAGGCCACAGUGGCAGUGCUGAGUUUCAUCCUCUCCAGUGCGGCCAAGCAUAGCGUGGAUGGCGAGUCCUUGUCCAGUGAACUGCAGCAGCUGGGGCUGCCCAAAGGUACGGGGACGAGGGCAGGCAGGUGGGUAACCUGUGGGCCAAGGGGUGCCAGGCAAAGGUCAGGCUGUGUGACCCUGAGAUGCACCUUGCCCUCUCUGGGCCAGGAGCCUGAGACCUGCCCUUUGAGUGGCCUAAGCCCCAGCACCCACCCGCUAGCUCAGGGGACCUCCCUUCGGCCCCCAGAGCAUGCAGCCAGCCUGUGUCGCUGUUAUGAGGAGAAGCAAAGCUCCCUGCAGGAGCACCUGCGGGCCUGCAGCUUGCGAGGUGAGUGUGGGGUGCCAGGGUGGGGGCUGGGCUCCAUUCUAGAAGGUGCAUGUGGCUUGGGAGGUGUUGGUCCUCAGAAAGGAGACUUAACCACAUCACAUGUCGAGCAGUCACAGAGCUGGGAUUCCUGACACCAGCCCCAGUUUCUUUCCUCUGAGAUCUGCUGUGGGUAAUCUGAGCUCCUGGAUCAGAGGGAUGAGAGCUCAAAGGCCACAUAGCCCUGAAGGGUUCAGGGCUGAACCAGGGUGUGGGCUAGGGCUGCCUGGCUCCCCUGCCUGUGACCCUGAGCCCCUUUCGGUCUUGCAGUGAAUAGGCUGGCAGGCGUGGGCUGGCGGGUGGACUACACCCUGAGUUCUAGCCUGCUGCGGUCCGUGGAAGAGCCCAUGGUGCACCUGCGGCUGGAGGUGGCAGCUGCCUCGGGUGCCCCGGCCCAGCCUGUUACCAUGUCCCUCUCAGCAGACAAGUUCCAGGUCCUCCUGGCAGAACUGAAGCAGGCCCAGACCCUGAUGAGCUCCCUGGGCUGAGAAGAAGAGCUCAAGGGGCCCAUGUGGAGCUGCCCUCCGAACUUCUCUUCAGGGGGUGCCCCAGCUCCAGGACCCUAGGGGCCUGGCCUCCUGGAUGUCUGGCUUCCUAGGUUACCACCUGAGGAUUCAGCCUAGGGAUCCUGAACACUCUUGCAGCAUUGUCUUCCCUCCCCC